rnacentral:rRNA from 1 species
GGCUCAGGAUGAACGCUGGCGGCGUGCCUAAUACAUGCAAGUCGAACGGAGCGGAGCAAUCCGCUUAGUGGCGAACGGGUGAGUAACGCGUUGGUGACCUGCCCCGGAGUGAGGGAUACCAGGCCGAAAGGCUUGCUAAUACCGCAUGUGCGGUGAGGGAUCAGAAGCCUCACGGCAAAGGAGAAAUCCGCUCUGGGCGGGGCCUGCGACCCAUCAGCUGGUUGGUAAGGUAACGGCUUACCAAGGCGAUGACGGGUAGGGGACCUGAGAGGGUGGCCCCCCACAAUGGAACUGAAACACGGUCCAUACACCUACGGGUGGCAGCAGUAGGGAAUAUUGCUUAAUGGGCGCAAGCCUGAAGCAGCAACGCCGCGUGUGCGAUGAAGGCCUUCGGGUUGUAAAGCACUUUUGAUCGGGAAGAGGAAGGACGGUACCGGUCGAAUAAGCCUCGGCUAACUACGUGCCAGCAGCCGCGGUAAAACGUAGGAGGCGAGCGUUAUCCGGAUUUACUGGGUGUAAAGCGCGUGCAGGCGGUUGGCUAAGUUGGGUGUGAAAGCUCCUGGCUCAACUGGGAGAGGUCGCUCAAGACUGGCCGACUGGAGAGCAGGAUGGGAAGGUGGAAUUCCGGGUGUAGUGGUGAAAUGCGUAGAUAUCCGGAGGAACACCAGUGGCGAAAGCGGCCUUCUGGACUGCAUCUGACGCUCAGACGCGAAAGCUAGGGGAGCAAACGGGAUUAGAGACCCCGGUAGUCCUAGCUGUAAACGAUGUGAACUUGGCGCGGGGUGGGUAAAACCAUUCCGUGCCGGAGCAAACGCGAUAAGUUCACCACCUGAG